AUACGAAAGGUGCGAGCGUUGUUCGGAUUUACUGGGCGUAAAGCGAGUGUAGGUGGUUUGUUAAGUCGAAUGUGAAAUCCCGGGGCUCAACCUCGGAACUGCAUUCGAUACUGGCAGGCUAGAGUUCGGGAGGGGUAAGCGGAAUUCCGUGUGUAGCAGUGAAAUGCGUAGAUAUACGGAGGAACACCUGAGGCGAAGGCGGCUUACUGGACCGAUACUGACACUGAGACUCGAAAGCGUGGGUAGCAAACAGGAUUAGAUACCCUAGUAGUCC
rnacentral:rRNA from 1 species